CGCAAGCCUGACGGAGCAACGCCGCGUGAGGGAGGAAGGCCUUAGGGUUGUAAACCUCCUUUCUCUGGGAAGAAGAACUGACGGUACCAGAGGAAUAAGCCUCGGCUAACUCCGUGCCAGCAGCCGCGGUAAGACGGAGGAGGCAAGCGUUAUCCGGAAUUAUUGGGCGUAAAGCGUCCGUAGGCGGCUAAUUAAGUCUGUUGUCAAAGGUCACAGCUCAACUGUGGAUCGGCAAUGGAAACUGGUUAGCUUGAGUGUGGUAGGGGUAGAGGGAAUUCCCGGUGUAGCGGUGAAAUGCGCAGAUAUCGGGAAGAACACCAGUGGCGAAGGCGCUCUACUGGGCCACAACUGACGCUGAUGGACGAAAGCUAGGGGAGCG
rnacentral:rRNA from 1 species